CCCUACUUUGCCAAAUAGUAACGUUCUUUGAAAUAGAUUCAAUAAAAGCUGAUCAUGUGAGCAGCAAUCAUCAAGGAAAUCUUUUGAAAUUUGUAAGGCUUUCUGGAUAGUUAUGCAUUCAGCUUCAUUUGAUUAUACUCAAGAAGCAUCAACAUUCCAUCUAAGCUAAGAUAAGGACGGAGUGUUCACUGUUUGAUUUUCACUGUUGGAGAGUCUUGUUUCAGCAACUUUUUUCCAGUCAUCUGAAGUUGAUCUCAAGGAGGAUAAUCUGUAAUCUAUGAGCCCAAAGACCUUAUUCUAGAUCUUCAGUUUCUGUCUCAAAAAAGUUAGGGAGCGAUCCAUGGUGCUAUGAAAUUCAGACCAAAGGCUUCUUGACCACAUCAAUAAAACCAGGCAAGAUCCACAAAGCGUCUAAGAAACGCAUAAGUUUCGGCCCAUUAAGAUCAGUUGUAUUCAGAAGAAUUAAAACCACUGAAACAACACAAAAGCUUUGUCAAUCUUGCUCAUUGAUGUUCCAUUUCGCUAGGUGUAUCGUUUGCUAAUGAGUGUAACUUCUAUCAUCUCUAAAGAAAUAAUAAAAGAUCGAAAAUUUGUCAUCCCUGUUAUUGAGAAAUAUAUGAUUUUUCUCUCUGUUAGAUUGAGCACCUAGUUAAAGUCACCCAUUAAAAUAACAGGUUCAUUUAUAUUGCUAAGUACAUUUUUAAUUCUUCCCACAAAGCCAUCAGACCUCAUUCUAGAUCAUUGCUAUGCCACCAGAUUGACCCAUGGAGCUAACAAAGAACCAAUCUAAAAUGUCCAUACCCCAUAAAUUCCUAACAAAGGGAAAGAGACCAGUUCACUUAUACUUUCAACGAUGGCUACACACUCCACUCUGAAUUACUGUAUGAGAUCCUUUAAAAAUAUUUUUUUUUACACGAUCCUCCAAUUCCCUAAUAGAUCUAUGAAAAGCAAGCUACCUAAAGAUCAAACAAAUUGGAGCAAACAGAAAUGACGCAAACACCUGUGCUGAAAGAAACUAGAAAAAAUAAAAAAAAUCAAAGCUAGAAAAGACUUAUCAUGUAUUUUAGCAGAGCUCCAUAUCCUUGGAAAUAUGGUCAGCCAGGUAUUGAAUCAGGUUUCUAUCAUCACCCCCUCUAAAAACUAAACUGAGUUCUCUUCCCAACUUCACAGUGAGGGUUGCUUCUUUUUCAGGUAAAACUGGCAAGAGGUCUGAGAUUUCUGAGCUUGAUUUUCUACGAGUUGUUUACGCAGAACUUGAUUUCUCCUUCUGAUAUCACUGUCUGAAGCAAAGCAGAGAGGGGAGUUUCCUCCUUUAAUUUUCGAUUUUAGUUUCCCACUGAACGCCACUUUUGGAUAUAAAUCCCAUAAAUCUACUGUUAACCUUUUGGUUCUUUUUUGUUUCAAAAUGCGAUUUACUUUGAAGUGAGAAAGGGGCAGAUUACUGGCGUUUUUGUGAAAUUAGGGAUGAGAGAAAAAGACAAGAAUUAUUUAUUGAUUUAGAGUUGAAUUGCUUAGUAGUGGCUGAAAAAAGGGUUUCGCGCUGAUUUGAUAAGUGCAAGAGACACCAUUUAAAAUGGAGUCAGCAAUUAUGUUUUUUUUAUUAAG
rnacentral:lncRNA from 1 species